ensembl:lncRNA
GUGAUCACCUGCAUGGUCCACGUGGUUGUGUGUAAUAAUAGUGAGGUGGCUGCAGAUACUGAUAUUAAAUAACUGAUGUAGAGUGAACAGCAUUUUCAGAGAUGAAAUAAUAUUUAUUUUUUCUUUGAAGUGACACUCAGGCUAAACUAAGCUCAUGACUAAUGAACCGCUUCAGUGUUUUUUCACUCAUUUGCCGCUGUUUUGGGAAUGAAGUUGGACUAACUUGUGUGGUUUUGAAACUUCUGCCCACACGCAGUAUGAAUAAUGAAAUGAAAUGGUUUUUCAUUUAGAUUAUCAAACUAAUAACUUCUAAAUAGGGGGAAAAUGAGAAUACAAAUCAGGCUUUUUUUGUACUCAAGUGAAAGUGUUCAUCUCUAAAUGUCAUCUUUGCAAUUCAAAAUCAUUUCUGUAUUAACCAGAAGUAAAAAUAAUCUCACCUCAAGGUCCAGGUCAGAAGCUGAACUGUUAUGGAGCUUUAAUAUUAUAUCACAAACCAUCCCUUAGCAGAUGUCUAUUCCUCCUGUGUUUGCUAAAUGUUCAAAAUAUUACAGAGGUCAAGAAUAAACUUUAAAUUCAAAGCCAACAUGUAUAAGUAGUCUUAAAGUUCUGAAAUGAAAAUAAUGAUUUGCUCUAACAGCUCUCUACUUAAAGGACCUUGACUUGGCGAUUCAACAGUUUAUCCACAUUGUGCUGAAAUAUCAGAGUCUCACUGAGUUGAGGAUUCAUUUUAGGAGGGGGAUCACAUCAAAGCCUGUUCGCAGGUGUUGGGGAAUGUGAAAAAUGUGUCUUUUGUGGCUCCAGAGGGGCAAAAAAUAUCCCUUGAAUGGAGUCAGAAGAGUACCAAUUAGAAAAUGAAAAACAGUGAGCAUGUCGGUGUGGCGUUACAGAAGAAAUGAGCUCAGCAGACCUCUGCAGUCGGCUCGAGGCUACAGUCAAAGUAGUCGGUGGUCCUGUGGUUUGGUUCACUGUCAAACUCAUCUGUGACUGUUGGCUUGCGAGGUCCGGAUAAAUACUAUUAAUGGUGAAAUCAGCAAGUUUUCUGCAAAAACACUGACACCCAAACCCCAAUGUUCAUUCACUGGAUGGAGAAAAGGAAAACAACAGAGUGCUGACCUGUUUAUUUUUACAGUUACCGUCAAAAAAGUCAGAAGUUGGCCAUUGUACCUAAAAAUUUUGGCAAUGGAAGCGUGAAAGUUAAAGACGGUUAGUCUCUGAGUGGGUACAGUAACAGAGCAUCAUCACUGUGGGGUUUUUAAACUUCCUGGUGUUCCAGGUGUGAUGAUACUGAGCAGAACUUCAUUCUCAGUCGCACUUAACGCUUCCAAACUAAGCUUUGUUAUACAACCUUUUGGAUAAGUUUCAUUCAUGUGUGUGAACAUUUGUAGAACAGCAGGACUAAUACCUGCUUAAUAAAACACAGUCAUAACAUUUCUCUGCUUCCUUUUAAACCAACUAGUAUUAAAAAGUGCGUCUACAAUGUGUUAGAUGCACGUAGAGCUAUGAGGACUACUUUAGUUCUUAAAAUGUCCUUGAAUCUACAGCAGAUUAGAUUCUUUUGAAAUGUCUAUACUUCAGUUGCUUUUGAGACGGUUAAUUGGACUCAGAAAAAAUGUCUCCACUUUGCUUUAGACGAAUACGAUGAGGACUCCUACAGUAAAAACAUGGUUUACGGACCAUGCGUGUUCUGCCUUAGGCUGCCAGAGAAGAGAGACGUCACACACUCAGGACUGAGAAUUACAGCUGUUAUGUUGCACAUUGAUAAUAAUAUAAUUUUAUAAAUAUGAGCUUAAUGCUGUCUUUAAUAAAUGUUUUUUCUUGUGCUCUAGAGUAAUUGCUGCAUUACUGUUUGUGCUGCAGUGUUGCUUUUUAACCUUUAAGAGUGUGUUGUGUAGUGUAAUAUUUUCUUGAUGCAAUAUACUAAAAGUAAAAGAUUAUAUAUUUAUGGCAAAUGCUAUUAAAAUUGAAGAACAGAGUUGAGACACGUGAAUGAACUACCUAAUAAUGAAGGCUCUAGUAAUCACUGAUGUUGGUGAUGACAUUGUGUGUAUGUCUGUGGAAGACACACACACACACACACACACACACACACACACAGCUAGAAGAUCAUAAAGUAAAACAUGUUUUUGGUGUAAAGACAGUUCACAUGCUUUUUAGAAAGUGAUACAUGGAGUACUCAAAACAUAAUGGUGUAUAUGUGAGUUAUUAUAACUUUUAAACUACAUUAGAAACAUAAC